rnacentral:rRNA from 1 species
UACAGAGGUUCCAAGCGUUGUUCGGAUUCACUGGGCGUAAAGGGUGCGUAGGCGGUCGGGUAAGUCUGAUGUGAAAUCUCACAGCUUAACUGUGAAACUGCAUUGGAUACUAUCCGGCUCGAGGAAUGGAGGGGAGACUGGAAUACUUGGUGUAGCAGUGAAAUGCGUAGAUAUCAAGUGGAACACCAGUGGCGAAGGCGAGUCUCUGGACAUUUCCUGACGCUGAGGCACGAAAGCCAGGGGAGCAAACGGG